AGAGUUUGAUCCUGGCUCAGGAUGAACGCUGGCGGCGUGCUUAACACAUGCAAGUCGAACGAUCCUUCGGGAUAGUGGCGGACGGGUGAGUAACGCGUGGGAAUCUGCCCUCAGGAGGGGGAUAACGGCUGGAAACGGCCGCUAAUACCCCAUAUGCCGAGAGGUGAAAUGAAUUUCGCCUGAGGAUGAGCCCGCGUCUGAUUAGCUAGUUGGUGGGGUAAAGGCCUACCAAGGCAACGAUCAGUAGCUGGUCUGAGAGGAUGAUCAGCCACACUGGGACUGAGACACGGCCCAGACUCCUACGGGAGGCAGCAGUGGGGAAUUUUCCGCAAUGGGCGAAAGCCUGACGGAGCAACGCCGCGUGAGGGAUGAAGGCCUCUGGGCUGUAAACCUCUUUUCUCAAGGAAGAAGACCUGACGGUACUUGAGGAAUAAGCCACGGCUAAUUCCGUGCCAGCAGCCGCGGUAAUACGGGAGUGGCAAGCGUUAUCCGGAAUUAUUGGGCGUAAAGCGUCCGCAGGCGGCCUUGUAAGUCUGUUGUUAAAGCGUGGAGCUCAACUCCAUUUAAGCAAUGGAAACUACAAGGCUGGAGUGUGGUAGGGGCAGAGGGAAUUCCCGGUGUAGCGGUGAAAUGCGUAGAUAUCGGGAAGAACACCAGUGGCGAAGGCGCUCUGCUGGGCCAUAACUGACGCUCAUGGACGAAAGCCAGGGGAGCGAAAGGGAUUAGAUACCCCUGUAGUCCUGGCCGUAAACGAUGAACACUAGGUGUCGGGGGAAUCGACCCCCUCGGUGUCGUAGCCAACGCGUUAAGUGUUCCGCCUGGGGAGUACGCACGCAAGUGUGAAACUCAAAGGAAUUGACGGGGGCCCGCACAAGCGGUGGAGUAUGUGGUUUAAUUCGAUGCAACGCGAAGAACCUUACCAGGGUUUGACAUCCUGCGAACCCCUGAGAAAUCGGGGGGUGCCUUCGGGAGCGCAGAGACAGGUGGUGCAUGGCUGUCGUCAGCUCGUGUCGUGAGAUGUUGGGUUAAGUCCCGCAACGAGCGCAACCCACGUCUUUAGUUGCCAGCAUUCAGUUGGGCACUCUAGAGAGACCGCCGGUGAUAAACCGGAGGAAGGUGUGGAUGACGUCAAGUCAUCAUGCCCCUUACAUCCUGGGCUACACACGUACUACAAUGCUACGGACAAAGGGCAGCAAGCUCGCGAGAGUUAGCAAAUCCCAUAAACCGUGGCUCAGUUCAGAUCGUAGGCUGCAACUCGCCUACGUGAAGGAGGAAUCGCUAGUAAUCGCAGGUCAGCAUACUGCGGUGAAUACGUUCCCGGGCCUUGUAC
rnacentral:rRNA from 1 species